CGGCGACCGCGGGCUCUGCCUCUCUCCGCCGGCACCGACGCCGCGUCCUAGGCUAGGAUUUUCUCGUGAUUCCAUGUCUCUUGGGCCAGCUCUCUUACGGUUUUCCGGAACGUGGCUGCUCAUACGCCCCCCUCCUCGAGGCAAGCAGAUACAAGAGUCCGUUACCACCUCCCCCCUUAGCGUAGUGGAAACUACUGCCCCCGGACGGGGGCCGCGGGGGGCGGGGGCCGAAAAGUGACGAAUGGAUCCGAGAAGAGGACAGAGAUGUGUUGGUGUAGUGGAUGAACCGGCAGCAUCAGUUUCACCUGGUGUUUUGUUGGAGAUGUAAAAUCUCAAAUCCUACCCAAGAUGUCCUGAAUCAGAACCUGCAUUUUAACAAGACCUGAGUGAAUCCUGUGUACAUUAAAGAACCAUUUGAAAUAUAAGUUUGAGAAGCAUUAAUUGAAAUAGAAGAGUCUGUGCCUUUUCUAUUUGAAUUUGGUAGUCUAGGUAAAUACCCAGGAGUGGAGUUUCUGAGGAAUACGGAAUGUUCCAGAAGUAGCAGAAAUUGUGUUGGUCCUGAAAGGAACAUGCAGAGAAGGAAAUUUAUUAUGAAGAAUUAGAUUACAAGAUUACAGAAGAUUAUGGAAGAUUAUGGUUGGUAACCUGGGAGAGUCUGAUCCUGGUCUCACCUGGGAUCAUUCAGGCUGUGAUUAUCUGAAGGCUUCUCUGUGGCCGGAGGGUCCAAGUUGUCCUCACUCAAAUGUGCAGCAGUUGGUACUAGAUGCCAGCUGAGACUCUUCAGUUCUCCUCCAUGUGAUCACCCAUCCUCUGGUUGGCCUCCAUGAGGUUGAGAGAUGAACUGGAGGCAGAGGUGCAGCAGAUGGCCGGCACCAACCACCAAACAAGAGAAUCAUUUUAUCCAUGCUGUAUCUCCUGCUUUGACAUGAUGAAGACCUAUAGGAUGCUGACAGAACCAAGAAGGACUGGAGGCUGGGAUUUGGACACUGAUGGUAAAGCAGUGUGAGGACCUAAGGAGAUGGUGGCCAUCUAUAAGCCAGGAAGAGAGCUUUCACCAGAAACCAAAUCAGCUAGACUCUUGAACUUGGACUUCUAGCCUCCAGAACAGUGAAAAAAUAAAUUUGUUUAAGCCACUCAA